rnacentral:rRNA from 1 species
AGGGAUCAUUACCGAGUUUACAACUCCCAAACCCAAUGUGAACGUUACCAAACUGUUGCCUCGGCGGGAACUCAUGCCCCGGGUGCGUCGCAGCCCCGGACCAAGGCGCCCGCCGGAGGACCAACCAAAACUCUUUUUGUAUACCCCCUCGCGGGUUUUUUAUAAUCUGAGCCUUCUCGGCGCCUCUCGUAGGCGUUUCGAAAAUGAAUCAAAACUUUCAACAACGGAUCUCUUGGUUCUGGCAUCGAUGAAGAACGCAGCGAAAUGCGAUAAGUAAUGUGAAUUGCAGAAUUCAGUGAAUCAUCGAAUCUUUGAACGCACAUUGCGCCCGCCAGUAUUCUGGCGGGCAUGCCUGUCCGAGCGUCAUUUCAACCCUCGAACCCCUCCGGGGGGUCGGCGUUGGGGAUCGGCCCUCCUCUUGCGGGGGCCGUCUCCGAAAUACAGUGGCGGUCUCGCCGCAGCCUCUCCUGCGCAGUAGUUUGCACACUCGCAUCGGGAGCGCGGCGCGUCCACAGCCGUUAAACACCCAACUUCUGAAAUGUUGACCUCGGAUCAGGUAGGAAUACCCGCUGAACUUAA